AUUGAACGCUGGCGGCAGGCCUAACACAUGCAAGUCGAGCGGGGUUUUCGGACCUAGCGGCGGACGGGUGAGUAAUGCGUAGGAAGCUGCCCGAUAGAGGGGGAUACCAGUUGGAAACGACUGUUAAUACCGCAUAAUGUCUACGGACCAAAGUGUGGGACCUUCGGGCCACAUGCUAUCGGAUGCGCCUACGUGGGAUUAGCGAGUUGGUGAGGUAAUGGCUAACCAAGGCGACGAUCUCUAGCUGGUUUGAGAGGAUGAUCAGCCACACUGGAACUGAGACACGGUCCAGACUCCUACGGGAGGCAGCAGUGGGGAAUAUUGGACAAUGGGCGCAAGCCUGAUCCAGCCAUGCCGCGUGUGUGAAGAAGGCCUUCGGGUUGUAAAGCACUUUCAGUAGGGAGGAAGGGUUAAGUGUUAAUAGUACUUAACUUUGACGUUACCUACAGAAGAAGCACCGGCUAACUCUGUGCCAGCAGCCGCGGUAACAC
rnacentral:rRNA from 1 species